GUGAAUUAAAACAUGCUUGGUUGUCCUUUCGCUUCGGCAAGGCCCUUGCUUAAAUCACAUCCUAACAACCUGUGAACUGUAAGACGUAUGAUAGGUCUUUGGCCAAGUCAUCGUCUGCCCAUUUUUUAAACCAAACAAUUAAUUGUAACAAACGUAGUCUUAUUUAUAACCUAAUUA
rnacentral:misc_RNA from 1 species